ACGCCCACUUUCAAGUGGUAGCAAUGUGGCCCUCCAAAAAGUUCACUUCUAAUUGGAGUGGUUGCCAUAGAAACGUUGACUCGGACCGACUGGGACCACUCACUACUUAGUGAUGUUGUCUGUCUCUAACUUAGCGUUCGUAAUGUGGAAAAAAAAGGGCAACCCUUUAUUUGGUGUGAGCCAGAAGUAUAUUGAUGACAUCACACUUAGUCCAGUUCGCAUAUAUAGUUUUUGGUUAUAAAAGAAAGACAGCAUUCCUGCUAAUCUGCGGACUUUGUCUGCUUUCAUUCAGAUUGAAACUUAAGAAAUGGUUUUGUUUGGAGCUGUACUUCUAAAUUAAGCAGAAAACGUGGAAGUGGGGUGUAGCUUCAUAAAAGCGGUCAUGUGUUUGUGUUUCAGACGUGGAUGAGUGCGGCUCUGAACUAGAUACCUGCCUUCCCAACAGUUACUGCCUAAACACAGAAGGAUCGUUUGAGUGCAGAGGCUGUGAUGUCGCCUGUGUGGGCUGCAGAGGUGCAGGACCAGCUCACUGCAGGAAAUGUGCUCCUGGUUACAGAUUCACCGGCUCCAAGUGUUUAGACGUAGAUGAAUGCAGUGACCGGGUGCUGGCCUGUCCUGGUUUGGAUGAGAUUUGCAUCAAUGCAGACGGCUCCUUCCACUGUGACUGUGCUGAAGGCUUCGUCCGCAGGGAUGGAGUCUGUGUGAGGGAAAAGCUGCCCGAUCUUCCAGAGAAGGGUCUGUUUGAUGAUAUUAAGGACGACGAAGUGGAAGUGCUGAAGCAGAUGUUUUUUGGCGUGCUGCUUUGUGCGCUGGGUACACUGGCAGCAAAGGGAGACAUGGUUUACACGUCUGUGUUUAUUGGAGCAGUGGCUGGCAUGGCGGCCUAUUGGUUCUCUGAGAGAGGGGACCACCUGAUGAACAGGUUCCUAAAAGAACCCUAACGCUAAGCAACGUCUAACUCAAAAAUGUUAAUGAAUAAAGAUUUUUAAUUAUUUAAAAAUAACAGCCAAUCUAGAAGCUCCACAGCCAAUCAAAAGUCGAGCAAACAGGAUGUGGAAAUGUUUGUCACGUCUUUAGGUUUGAAAGUAAAACGCUUUUACCCCUUCUGACCUCGAAAAUCAAAUUAACUUAAGAGCAAAAUGAGCACAUAACUGGAAGUCAUCUACUAAGUGGAAACUCAGUGGAACUGUGUCCGGAUUCCCACCCUAACCCCUAAAUACUGUAGUGUCCUGGAUUUUCAAAGCAAUUCAGACGCCAUGCUCUCACCUUUAUUAUUUCUUUCAAAACGGCGGAUAUGACGUCAUCGAUUUCACGAAGUUAAAAUCUAAUUAAUAUGAGCGUUUUGUGACGAUUGUUUAUGAGUCCACUGUCUUCUGAAGAUAAAAACGAUGAUUUAUUAAAAAAAUCCAUUUAAAUACAUUUUUCAUUGUUCCGGCGCAAAGCAUUGUGGACUAUAUUCGCUGAUCUAGUGAGCAUCGAUGCACACUAGUUCUUCACAGAGACCUCUGGGAAAUUUCUAGGGCACUUUGGGAAUUGUGGAUUCGGACAGCACAACAAAAUGGCGAACACACUAGUGCACUAAGUAGGGGUUAGAAAAGGAAUUCGGGCACAACCUCUUAAACACAAUAUGGCAUUGGUGUCAGCAUGGAGAUGUUAUCAUGUGUGGGUAACAGCGCUCUGUGGGGAGACCAUCAUUUAAACGGUUAGAAAACUCUUUUAACAGCUUAAUUCAAAAGAUAUUCUGGCAAAACUGAUUCCACACUGAGAUAUUUACAAAGGUGAAACAUCAGCAAAUAUAAAACACACCUUAAAUGAUUAACAUAAAGUGUAAACAACUUGCUUUAUUAAUAAAAAUGGCAUAGCUGUACUAGGA